rnacentral:lncRNA from 1 species
GCCCGUUGAGUCAGCAUAGCUUUAUAUAGCAGAAUAAGGUGGCGAACCUAGACGAAAAUUUAUAAUUAUUGAAUAAAUGCAUAUUGAUGCUUAUUACUCAGCCUUUAAUGAAUCCCAGAGUUUCAUUCUUAACAUGCCCUAUGAAUUUCAUUAUUUGCCACCCUGUCAGAUGUCUUGGAAGAGUUUCUCAAAAUUCAAAAACAUAUCAUUUUUUUCUCUGUCAUAACUAUUUAGCACUUGAGCGGAGGGUCCUUUUGUAUAAACUCUACCCUCCACAGAUCCCGCUUGUUGAAAUUGAAAUCUCACUGGGUAUGUUGUUGUAGAAACAGUGAAAUAAGACAUUCUGAUGUAAGUUUGUCAAUAUUCCAUGCUUGAUUCAUUGUUUCGCAAUUGGUGAAAAUAAAACUUUAAAACUGCAUUUGUGGACAGGAGGAGCCCAAGCACGAAUCAGGGGCGGAUUUAGGACAUGUAUCGUCGGUUCAACUGAUGGCUAUAGAGUUGAAUAAGAAUACAGAGAGUUGUAGACACAUAAACUCAAAUAGGUACCAUCAGUCACACUGAUAAUAAUCAAGACUGCAA